GUCAGUUGUAGUCUCAGCUGUUUAUCCUGGCACUGGCUGUUACAGCUCAACCUCAGCUUCUCUGCAAACACAGACCUGAAUUCUCUUCAAAACUGAUCCAGAAUCAGCCCUGAGCACUGUGACAAACCUCAGCUCUCCUGUUCAACACGUUGACAUUUACAUAUGACUGCAGAAGGUGCAUCUGCCUCCACUCUCCUUCCAACAUAUCCCCAAAAUGGCUGUGUCAGUCUUCCAAGGAAGAGUUCAUACAUUCAGAAAGCAGCAAGGAGCUGGCUGUGACCCUGGAGCCUUGGUGACCCUUUGUCCUGCUGGAAAAGAUGAAGGGUGAAGAUGUGCAGUGGCCCAGAUUAAUUCCCAGUCACUUCCCUGGGAGUGUGCCUGCUAAUCAAAGUGUUUUAUGGCUACUCCUGGGAUCCAAGAGCAGUUACAGGAUUUGGGACCAAAGAAGGCUGGAUGAAAGCUCUUCCCUUGAGCCAGAUGUGUUUUGGCACACCUGCAUCAGUGAUGUGAGAGGGCACUACACGAACACUGAGCUGGAUUUAGACUGAGAAAAGCUUUGUGAUUCUCAAACCUCAGCUGCCUGGGAUGAUUUUAGUAGUUGCUGUGAGGUUCACAGGAAGACUUUAGUCAGCUUUGUUUCUCUGCAGCAUCUUGCUCUUCGUAUGACCAACACCAAAACCCCUGCUUCUAAAAGCCAGAGGUGAUAAUUUGUCACUCCCAAAAGCAUUGCAUCUGCCAUAGGAGGAAUGCUGCACUGGAAUUAAGUUUUGUGGACAAGAUUCACCAGCUGGAGAAAUAGGAGCUCUUGGUUUGAUGCAACCAGUGGUGCUUUGAUUACCUACAGAGCACAGCAUCCACAGGUAGCAGAAACCAAGAAUGGACUACAGCUGCCCAUGCAGCAAGUGCUCCUCUGCCUCCAGCUCACUGGGCUGAGCAUUUCAAGUGAAGGAGCCCUGGUGAGGCUGAAGAUCAUCUCUUCCCCAAGUUAUGACUCCUCACUGUCAUCAUAAAUUAGGAUGCCCUUGCAGUUCUGCUGAACGAGGUGAAUGCCACUCCACACCUCCCUUCUGGUCACCUUCAAACAGGGCCAAGGUGCCAGGCAGGGUGAGGGGCAACCCACCAGGACAUGCAGGUGAACUCUCCAGGUGAAUGGUAUAAUAAAAGCAGGCACUGGCAAUAAUGUGCUCUGACUCCAUGAUUUCAGAAGGCUGAAAAAUUGCUUUAUUAAGCUAUGUUAUAUUACACUAAUACUAUCCUAAAUUACAUACUAAAGAGAUAAUUACAUACAAAAGAGAUUCUAUACCAAAGAAAAACCCAUGACUGUCUGGGACAGCCAGGACACAGCUUUGGGUGAUUGGCUAAUCACUCAAACCAACUUUCACCCGUGUCCAGUUAACAAACCACUUUGGGUAAAUAAUCUCCAUAACCCAU